CAAACCGACACCCGCUCAAUUUGAUGGGAAGACGUCUUCCCUCUCAUCGAAUGGUUUUCACUACUGUAUGUACGCACAGUGCUACGCAAUCGUCAUUUAAACUUGCGGAAGAGCUUCGUUUCCUUUUUAAUGAGAUUGGGGUGUGGGUUAGAGAGAUCACUGACAGGGAUGAAACGGGGAGGCAUGCCUGCAUGGGCGGAUGGAUGGAUGGAUGCAAUUCGAAGACCAUCAUGUCCUUUGUGCUGUACACAUACUCCUUGUACCUAUAUGGUAAUGCCAGCUUCACUCUUCACACAAAGGUUGAGGAAGUUACUCAGGUACCCGACACUGAACAAUCCAGCUUAACUUUUGAAACAGUUUUAAAACUGAAUUCAACAAUAUCACUAUCGAAAUCCUCGAC